UUUUUCCUCUAUUUAUCUUUCCAAUCUUUCUGUUUUUGUCUGAUCUCAGAAGCCAAGCAGGGUUGGGCCUAGUCAGCACUUGGAUGGGAGAACAUCUGGGAACACCGGGUGCCGCAGGGU
ensembl:rRNA 5S_rRNA 5S ribosomal RNA